rnacentral:rRNA from 1 species
UGCAAGUCGAACGCGAAAGUCCCCUUCGGGGGGCAAGUAGAGUGGCGCACGGGUGAGUAACACGUAGGUAAUCUACCUUUGGAUGGGGAAUAACAACCGGAAACGGUUGCUGAUACCGCAUAAUGCAGCGGCACCUAAUGGUGACAGUUGUUAAAGCGGGGGAUCGAAAGACCUCGCGUCUAAAGAGGAGCCUGCGGCGGAUUAGCUAGUUGGUAAGGUAACGGCUUACCAAGGCGACGAUCCGUAGCCGGCCUGAGAGGGCGGUCGGCCACACUGACACUGACAUACGGGUCAGACUCCUACGGGAGGCAGCAGUCGGGAAUUUUGGGCAAUGGGCGAAAGCCUGACCCAGCAACGCCGCGUGAAGGAUGAAAUCCCUCGGGAUGUAAACUUCGCAAAAACGGGAAGAAUAAGUAGGGGACAAUACCCCCUAUGAUGACGGUACCGUUUGUAAGCUCCGGCUAACUCCGUGCCAGCAGCCGCGGUAAUACGGGGGGAGCAAGCGUUGUUCGGAUUUACUGGGCGUAAAGGGCGCGUAGGCGGCCAGCACAAGUCAGUUGUGAAAUCUCCGAGCUUAACUCGGAAAGGUCAACUGAUACUGUGCGGCUAGAGUGCGGAAGGGGCAACUGGAAUUCUUGGUGUAGCGGUGAAAUGCGUAGAUAUCAAGAGGAACACCUGCGGCGAAGGCGGGUUGCUGGGCCGACACUGACGCUGAAGUGCGAAAGCCAGGGGAGCGAACGGGAUUAGAUACCCCGGUAGUCCUGGCCUUAAACGAUGAAUGCUUGGUGUCUGG